UUACGGCCAUAUCACGUUGAAACACCGAUUCCCGUACGAUCACCGAAGUUAAGCAACAUCGAUCCUGGUCAGUACCUAGAUGAGUAACCGCUUAGGAGGAUAAGGUG
rnacentral:rRNA from 1 species